rnacentral:lncRNA from 1 species
AUGCUCUCCUGCCCAAGGCUGUUAGCAAGCAGAGGAAAUUUCUCAGAGCGGCCCACCAAAUGUCCUCGUGGGCUGACCACAGAAGCACAGGGCUUUCUCUGGAGCUUCCUGACAAGGGGCUUUGGUGCACCCCCAAAGACAACAUUCACAUCAAGGACUGCCUGCCUACCUCCACGUCUGCCCCCACCCCAGCGGAAUCUUCAAAGUCUGCAGAAACAUCUUCGGUCCUUAUACCAACUAUCUGUGUUGGCCCUUUUUAAUGUAAACUUGAGUUCAGUUUCUAAUUCCAAUUUAGAUUCUGUAUUCUCAAGACCUAGAAUAGUGCUUAGCUCAUGGUGGCUGCUGCAUAUACAUCCAGCGGAUGGAUGAAUCUCAUGCCGUGCUAUGGCUUCCAGUCUUCUAACUUCCCUCCCUCUCCUAUUUUCAACUGUAAUUGAUUCUUUGAAAACCUGACCCCAAAGAGGUCAGUUUUUUUCAACAUAGCCACAGGCACCAGCUGGCAGAAGGUGGUCAGUGACCUUAGGGAGGGCUCAUGGGAGCAUUUGGAUGACACCCCAACUCUUCACUCUACUAGAAAAAAGGACUGUGUCAAGUUUCUCUGGGGACAUGGGCAGAUGUUAGGAACAGCCUGAGCAAUGCAGGUUUAGAAAGAGAAAUCUCUUUUAGAACGAAAUCAUCACAGAAGGCGGGCUUUCUAGAAAGUGCCGUGGAGGGAGGUUGUCUGCACCCGUGCCCUGGGCAAGUCAUCGAGAGUGGACCACACCACAUGCUUUUACCUUCACUCACUCACUUGUUUCAUGACCCCCAAAUUCUCAUUCAUUGACUCUCUAAAUAGAUCACUUGAACUUCACUGUAGGCACUAGGGUGUGGACUGACUGAGCCCAAGGAAGGGAGGUGCUGUGCCCUGACACACACAGAGGUGAGGAAGAACAGAGGGCCCCAGAGCCAUUUGUGUAAAGCACAGCUUCUUUAUCCCUACACAUUUCCAUGGAACUGGAUUAUCCCCUGAAUCCAGCAACACAGGCUCCAAAGAAACCUGCUCCCCUAAGACCACCUGCUUGAUGCAACGACCCUCAGGGCCAUAUUGUGUAUCUUCUGUCCUUCAGCCACCCCAUCCCUGCCCCGUCAGCCUCCCCCAGCAUAGUGGCAUCGCCCUUUGGGCAUCUGGCAUUUUCACCAGUGGAAAUGCCUACCAGGAAUCACAGGCACUGGAUCUUGCCCUCUCUGAUCCUACCCUCUCAGAAGCACAGUUUGGCUCAUUUGCACUUUUCCUCUGUGCUCCGGCCAUCACUCUUCCUUCCGCUGACACCAUCCCCAUCACUUCCUUGCGGCUUGUGUGGAAGAGGCCCAUGGGGUGGAUUUCAGCUAAAACCUUUGGUAAAUAAUCUGAAACUCUGCAGGUACAGGGAGUUGCUUCCCAAUCAGUUGUGAAAAAAACAGAGACUAAGUUUUUCACUGCCCAAGCCACUCCAGUCAUCAGCGCAUCUCUUUGGGAAGCAGUGUGAACUCUUGUUCCCAGAGAAUUGUUUGGGAGCUGGGUGAGAUGCUGUGAGAUAAUAGAGAAUAUGUAUUGGUCUCUGCCCUCAGUCCCUGGCAUAGAACUCCUAAAACCCUUGUAAAUUCCUAAGUGAUAAGAGCACUAAGAAAAUCUUUUGUUUUAAUGAGGCAAUUCUGCGUGGGCUCCUGGACGGUUCCUGGGUGGGCGCUGGUCUCCAGAAAGACCAAGACAUGAUUAGAAGCUUGGAAUUUUCAGCCCCAACUCCCACCCUCCAGAGAGGGGAACGGGUCUGGAAAAGGAGCCAAUAAUUGAUCACGCCUGUGUGAGGAAGCCUCCAUGAAAUCCCAGUCUCGGGGGGCUUGGAGAGCUUCCAGGUUGGCUAGCACAUCCACGCUGGGAGGGUGACACACCCCAGCUCCACAGGGACAGAAGCUCCUGUGCUCAGGACCCUCCCAGAUCUCGCCCUUUGUAUCUCUUCACCUGGCUCUCCAUCUGUCUCCUUUACCACAUCUUUUAAUAAGCUGGUAAACGUAAGUAAGUGUUUCCCUGAGUUCUGUGCGCCGCUGUAGCAAAUUAAUGGAACCCGAGGAGAUCUGAUUUGCAGCCAAGUCAGACAGAAGUUGUGGGUGACCACUACUCGCAAUUGGCAUCUGAAGUGGAGUGGGGGCAGUCUUGAGGGACCGAACACUUAACCUGUGGGAUCUGACACUAUCUCCAGGUAGAUAGUGUCGUAAUUGAGUUCAAUCAUAGGACACAUAGCUGGUGUCGCAGAGAAUUGUUUGGUGUCGGGAAAAACCCCCACACAUCUGGUGUCAGAAGUCUUGUGAGUGUUCUGUGUGAGUAGCGAAGAAGUACAUAGGAUAGAAAUACAGACGGAGGUGGAGAACUGGGUUUUUUCCUGCAUAGGAGACUGAACUGAGUUUUCCCUUUAUAGAUACACUUACGAUUUGCAUGAUGUGUCCAUUUCAGAGCCAUCUUCCAGUGAUGUUCAGAGGACUUGAUUAAUUUUGACCAAGUUUGAUAUUCGCUUUAGAUUCCAUUAAAUCUACCACCUUGAAAUUGAAUGUUCUUUGCCCCCGUGCCUCCCCAUGUGGCCCCCCCAAUGGUGUGGUGUGCCCCCUUCUCUAGGAAUACUCCGUGAGUAUAACAAACUGUCUCUUCAAUGACACUCAUCUCCCAAUCUGUUGGCCUCACCAAACCUGAAUCAUAAUAAAACCUAUAUUUUAAAACA